rnacentral:rRNA from 1 species
CACAUGCAAGUCGAACGCACCUUCGGGUGAGUGGCAGACGGGUGAGUAACACGUGGGAACCUUCCCUUCGGUACGGAAUAGCUCCGGGAAACUGGAAUUAAUACCGUAUACGCCCCUUGGGGGAAAGAUUUAUCGCCGAAGGAUGGGCCCGCGUCGGAUUAGCUAGUUGGUAGGGUAACGGCCUACCAAGGCAACGAUCCGUAGCUGGUCUUAGAGGAUGAUCAGCCACACUGGGACUGAGACACGGCCCAG